rnacentral:rRNA from 1 species
GACGAACCGAGCGAACGUUGUUCGGAAUCACUGGGCUUAAAGGGCGCGUAGGCGGCCUGGCAAGUGGAAGGUGAAAUCCCUCGGCUUAACCGAGGAACUGCCUCCCAAACUGCUUGGCUUGAGACCGGGAGAGGUGAGUGGAAUUCCGGGUGUAGUGGUGAAAUGCGCAGAUAUCAGGAAGAACACCCGUGGCGAAGGCGGCUCUCUGGGACGGUACUGACGCUGAGACGCGAAAGCGUGGGGAGCGAACAGG